GAAAUGCGAUAAGUAAUGCGAAUUGCAGAAUUCAGUGAAUCAUCGAAUCUUUGAACGCACAUUGCGCCCCCCAGUACUCUGGGAGGCACGCCUGUCUGAGCGUCAUUUCAACCAUCAAGCCCCCGGGCUUGUGUUGGGGACCUGCGGCUGCCCGCAGGCCCUGAAAACCAGUGGCGGGCUCGCUGUCACACCGAGCGUAGUAGCAAUCACCUCGCUCAGGGCGUGCUGCGGGUUCCGGCCGUUAAACAGCCUUACAAAACCCAAGGUUGACCUCGGAUCAGGUAGGAAGACCCGCUGAACUUAAGC
rnacentral:misc_RNA from 1 species